rnacentral:sRNA from 1 species
CAAGACGAUAAAAAAAA